GACGAACGCUGGCGGCGUGCUUAACACAUGCAAGUCGAACGGAAAGGCCCCAGCUUGCUGGGGUCCUCGAGUGGCGAACGGGUGAGUAACACGUGGGUGAUCUGCCCUGCACUCUGGGAUAAGCCUGGGAAACUGGGUCUAAUACCGGAUAGGACCGUGCUUUAGUGUGUGCGGUGGAAAGUUUUUCGGUGCAGGAUGAGCCCGCGGCCUAUCAGCUUGUUGGUGGGGUAAUGGCCUACCAAGGCGGCGACGGGUAGCCGGCCUGAGAGGGUGUACGGCUACAUUGGGACUGAGACACGGCCCAGACUCCUACGGGAGGCAGCAGUGGGGAAUAUUGCACAAUGGGCGCAAGCCUGAUGCAGCGACGCCGCGUGGGGGAUGACGGCCUUCGGGUUGUAAACCCCUUUCGGCAGGGACGAAGCUUUUGUGACGGUACCUGCAGAAGAAGCACCGGCUAACUACGUG
rnacentral:rRNA from 1 species